rnacentral:tRNA from 1 species
AAAAAGAUAAGCUAAACCUAAGCUAAUGGGUUCAUACCCCAUAUAUAAAGGUUUUAAUCCUUUUCUUUUUA